rnacentral:misc_RNA from 1 species
UUUCCGUAGGUGAACCUGCGGAAGGAUCAUUCAUAAUAAGUGUUUUAUGGCACUUUUUUAAAUCCAUAUCCACCUUGUGUGCAAUGUCAGGGUUGAUUUCUCUCUCGAGAGGAUCAACCCCAAACAUCAACUAUAUCUCAACUCUUUGUCUGAAAAAUAUUAUGAAUAAAACAAUUCAAAAUACAACUUUCAACAACGGAUCUCUUGGCUCUC